rnacentral:rRNA from 1 species
UACGAACUGUGCAAACGUUAUUCGGAAUCACUGGGCUUAAAGGGUGCGUAGGCGGCUUAUCAAGUAGGGUGUGAAAGCCCCCGGCUUAACCGGGGAAUUGCGCCCUAAACUGACGAGCUGGAGUGGGACAGAGGUGUGUGGAACUUCCGGUGGAGCGGUGAAAUGUGUUGAUAUCGGAAGGAACGCCGGUGGCGAAAGCGACACACUGGGUCUCAACUGACGCUGAGGCACGAAAGCCAGGGGAGCAAACGGG